UGCAUCCUUAUAAAAUGUAUUUUUCAUUAAUAUAGACUGCUGAGGUUAGAUGUGAAGCCAAGCAGAACAUCCAGUAAGUCAAAUCUAAAUCUCUAAGCUACACAAGUAUGAUUUCAUUGUAAUUCAACAUCAAGUAACACUGCUACUGUAAUUAUUACAGAAAAACAAACUGCACUGUGCUGCUACAGCUGAGCCAACCUGUUAAUAUGUGCAUCCUCCGAAGGCUGGUGCAAAACGGGACUGUAAACCCAUCAAUCCAGAUCCAGCUUCUGGGAGAUGUAGAAAGAGUGGGUAAAGGCUUGUGCCCAGUGCACUGCACAUCUCUAAUGUCUUAUGAUGAUUUCUGCAAGACCCAAGGGCCUGUCAAUGUCACAUGGUAGGAUAUUCUACAAAUUAAAGACUUGCCACACUCUUUAAUUAGUCCUGCGGCAAACAAUUUUGGCAUUUUUUGUGUUUACAAUAUUUAUGUGAGAUUGUAUUACUCAUUUCCCAAUGUUCGCUCUUUCUUGCAUUAGUUCUUAUAAGGAAAAUGGCUUCGUCCCUAAAGACUUGAUUGCUAAUCAAUCCUGCAACGGUGAGUGUUAUUACUCUUUGGCUUUACUUUCGUCCUCAUUUUCUGACUAAUACCAGUAUCAUAUUCAAAAAUGAAAUUUUGUUUUUUUAGUUGAGAACCAACAACAUUGUGAGUGUCAUGUGUCUACCAACAAUGGUGAGUAGAACAUAAUUGUUCUAUGUAAGAGUAGGUAGAAGCAUGUGUCAUGGACCAAUCAGACUCCAAGCUCUCUCUCCUACCUCUCUUUUAGAGACAUAUUAUGCUGUUCGUCUAAAUAUUAGAAGCCCAGAUGUGAAUUUCUCCUACAUUCAGAACAUGGUGAGUUUUUAGAGAAACGGUUCUUGCAAACAGGUAAAAUGCCUUUAGUUAGUCUUUUACCGAAACACUGCUAUAUAAAGAUUGGC
ensembl:lncRNA